rnacentral:lncRNA from 1 species
AGUGCGACAGCUUCAGAGCUGAUGGAGAGACAGAGAGCACGCAACUGGAAAAAAUCAGACAUGGAAUUCAUGGAUUAACUGGUCACCAAUUGUUUCAGCAUUGCGUAUUGAAUAAUACAACCUUCUUCCACUGCCGUGAAAUGUCAACAGCUGCUCUCCCACUAGAUAGGGCGUAGCUUUCCACAGGUCGGCCAUUUUCUUUCUAUUCAAGAUGGUUACAUUCCACAAUAGUACUUUUACCUUCUUGCCACAUCAUGCAGCCUGCUAAACCAUUGUGUUUAUAUAUUUUACCUUUCAAGAAUCCUAGCUGUAUACAGUUUAGAACAGUAAUUUUCAAAUAGGGUAUAUAUAUAUAUAUAUAUGAACAUAAUAUAUUUAUUCUUAAGCAAGUAUAUAUCUUAUAUAAAACUUAAAUAUAUAGAACUCAUAUAUACAUAUAUGUAUAUAUUUAAGAGAGUUAUAGAUCUUUAUUUGUUUAUUUAUUUAUCUAUUUAUUUUUACAAAUUAGAAGUUGGGAAAUCCAAUGACAUAGAACACUGUUCCAGGUGUUAACUGUUUUUUUUUUUUUUUGAUGAUUCUGACAUUCCAGUUGUGUAUUUAAAAGGAAGUACUGAAGGGGUUAAUGCAAAAUUUUUCUGUUCCUCAAGUAUUCAGAGAGUUAAAGCUGUGUGAAUUUGGUUCCUGGAAUUCUCUAGAGGGAAAUAAGAGGGAAAUGUAAGAAAUGCAUGAGAUGCAGAAAUGUUUUCAAUUAUGUUGCUGGAAGUAAUACGAUCUCGGGAUCUAAAGGAUGGAGGGUAAGUCUCAAUACAUGCUACCACUGUCAUUAUAUCUUCAAGACGUGAAAACAUCGCUGUGGUCCAUCUCUAUUUACUGCAAGCAGAAGGGUCAAGACAGAAAACAUAGAGGCUUUUAGUAGGAGGUAAGUUAAACAGUAACAGAAGUAUUUGACAGUUAAAAAUCACCUGCUGUUCUCUGUUUCACCCUUUACUCCAUCCCAGUUCCAUCCACCCACCCACCCCCUGCCUAUUGACUUCUAACCACAGUCACUGGUCUUUUCUGAUUUUGGACAGAAAAAGAGGGUAAGUAUCAGGUUGCUUUCUUUGCCUGCUGUUAUUGCAAGGGACUCUUUUGGCUCAUAGACACAGCUCCAGUCAUUUCCUGACUUGCCAUAUUAGGCUGUGAUUUGUUUAUGACUGGAGUCUGGUUUCCCUGGCAACAGAAGCUCACCAGGGCAUGCGCAUUGGCUCAUCUGCAGUGGCAGAAUGCGGCUGUGGGGCCUUGGGGAGGGAUCCCCCCCCCCCCGCCUCCACACCCCCGCAGUGACUGGAAGAGGUAUUCUACAGACGUCAGUUUUUCUCUUCUUAAACUGCGACUGUUAACUGCAGAUAAGCAUAGCAUUUUUUUAAAUCCUCACAAUACUUCGAGAUUUCUCCCUUGUUUUCUCUCCUAGCACAGCCACAGUCAAUAGGUUCACCAGUGAUCAUGACGUUUUUCCAGUUAUUAUGGAAAAUAUCCCUAGGGUCCAAAGGGAUCCUUAUAGUGUGGCUAUAGAAAACAAAUGGCCUAGUUUCAAAGCUCCAUCUCUUUCUUGAUAGUUGUAUGAAAUUCUUUAGUCAUCCUGUGUCUCAGCUUCCUCAGCCAUAAAAUAUGAAUAAUAACAGCACAUUUAGAAAAAUGUUACAUAUUAAACAUUAAAAAGUAUUCCUUAUUGUUAUUUGUAGAUGUCAAAAAAUUAUGUGGCACAGACUGGUGCCUGCACUGUACAGCCAAUGCUGAACAAAUUACAGACACAGGCAUUUAACCCUACAGAAUGCAGACACCUCACAUAGCCCACAGAUGACCUACAGCAGAGUGUUGCACUCUCCUGAGGCUCAUUACUAUAUACCAUAGCAAAAGAAUAGCCCCUUAUCACAUGGACACCUUCCAUGACAUUAGGCUCUUUUAGAUUGCACACAAGUUCUCUUCAACACAGAGGCCAAGCUAAAGGACAUUUAUUAGAAACACAUGGUGCAUCUUACCUCACCAUGAAGACAUUGUCUGUAACAAAGAGAAAAUCUCAACACUAUAGCUCAUCUCCACAUCACACGGACUCUAUCCAGAACACACAAAAGUAUAUAGACUUAUUCUGUACAACAUAGAUUCUUCC